UAUGUACUCCCUCCGUUCGAAAUUAUUUGACGUAAAAAUAAACAAGAAUGGAUGUAUCCAAAACUAAAAUACAUCUAAAUAUAUUCAUUUCUCCGAUAAGUAUUUUCUGACGGAGGGAGUAUUAC
rfam:Hordeum vulgare subsp. vulgare, WGS project CAJW01000000 data, contig: morex_contig_1577260